UACGUAGGGUGCAAGCGUUGUCCGGAAUUAUUGGGCGUAAAGAGCGUGUAGGCGGCCCGAUUAGUCCGCUGUGAAAGUCCGGGGCUCAACCCUGGAAUGCCGGUGGAUACUGUCGGGCUAGAGUCCGGAAGGGGCGAGUGGAAUUCCUGGUGUAGCGGUGAAAUGCGCAGAUAUCAGGAGGAACACCAAUGGCGAAGGCAGCUCGCUGGGACGUGACUGACGCUGAGACGCGAAAGCGUGGGGAGCAAACAGG
rnacentral:rRNA from 1 species